rnacentral:rRNA from 1 species
CCUACGGGUGGCAGCAGUGGGGAAUAUUGGGCAAUGGGCGCAAGCCUGACCCAGCAACGCCGCGUGAGGGAAGAAGGCUUUCGGGUUGUAAACCUCUUUUAAGAGGGAAGAGCAGAAGACGGUACCUCUUGAAUAAGCCACGGCUAACUAAGUGCGAGCAGCCGCGGUAAUACGGAGGUGGCAAGCGUGGUCCGGAUUUACUGGGUGUAAAGGGCGUGUAGCCGGGCUGACAAGUCAGAUGUGAAAUUCCUGGUCUCAACCCCGGACCUGCAUUUGAAACUGUUGGUCUUGAGUGUAGGAGAGGCAGGCGGAAUUCCUGGUGUAGCGGUGAAAUGCGUAGAUAUUAGGAGGAACACCAGUGGCGAAGGCGGCCUACUGGACGACAACUGACGGUGAGGCGCGAAAGCGUGGGGAGCAAACAGGAUUAGAUACCCGGGUAGUC